rnacentral:rRNA from 1 species
CCUACGGGAGGCAGCAGUGAGGAAUAUUGGUCAAUGAGCGAGAGCCUGAACCAGCCAAGUCGCGUGAAGGAUGACGGCCCUACGGGCUGUAAACUUCGUUUGUCAGGGAGCAAUUGGGUCCACGCGUGGGCUUAGCGAGAGUACGUGAAGAAAAAGCAUCGGCUAACUCCGUGCCAGCAGCCGCGGUAGUACGGAGGAUGCGAGCGUUAUCCGGAUUUAUUGGGUUUGAGGGGUGCGUAGGCUGAAUGUCUAUGCAGCGGGAAAAAUUCGGGGCUCAACCCCGUCGUGCCGUGGAAACUUAUGAUCUUGAGUGGGCGAGAAGUAUGCGGAAUGCGUGGUGUAGCGGUGAAAUGCGUAGAUAUCACGCAGAACACCGAUUGCGAAGGCAGCAUACCGGCGCCCAACUGACGCUGAAGCACGAAAGCGUGGGUAUCGAACAGGAUUAGAUACCCGUGUAGUC